AAAAACUUAGUUAAAUAAUAACGUCAGCUUGUCAAGCCGAAAUUAAUAAUCAUAUUAGUUUUUU
rnacentral:tRNA from 1 species